rnacentral:rRNA from 1 species
CAGCACUUCAAGUGGUCAGGAUGAUUAUUGGGCCUAAAGCAUCCGUAGCCGGCUCAGUAAGUUUUCGGUUAAAUCUGUACGCUUAACGUACAGGCUGCCGGGAAUACUGCAGAGCUAGGGAGUGGGAGAGGUAGACGGUACUCGGUAGGAAGGGGUAAAAUCCUUUGAUCUAUUGAUGACCACCUGUGGCGAAGGCGGUCUACCAGAACACGUCCGACGGUGAGGGAUGAAAGCUGGGGGAGCAAACCGGAUUAGAGACCCGUGUAGUCC